rnacentral:pre_miRNA from 13 species
CCUUCAUCCCUACUCCUGUUGGCUGCAGAAGCUCUGACGAGGUUGCACUACUGUGCUCUGAGAAGCAGUGCAAUGAUAUUGUCAAAGCAUCUGGGGCCAGCCUUGGGAAUGUUCCUCA